UUCUUUUUCUUCUUCUUCUUCUUUGCCUUGACAUGUUGCAUCAUCCACCUCCACCAAUCCAUCAUCCAUAGGGCACUGGAUGCACCUGCAUGUGAGCAUAUCUAUCCAAUUCUCGUCCUGUGUCUCAUUCUCUUACAUCUCACCCUUCUUCUAUGUCUCACCUUUGUGGUGCUAUCCACUGUCCAGACUCCAAAGCAUCGAUGCCAGUAGUUGUUGCAUAAAGCUUCCCAAUUUUGGGUAGCUGUAUCUCUCUCCCUCUGGGUUUUUACUGGGUUUUAAUGGGUAUUAUCAUUUGUAUUGUUUGAUUUUUGUUGGAAAUAUGAUUGAAUCUAUUGUGAAUUUCAAUUGGCUUUUAAUGAGUCUUAUCAUCUUUAUUGUUUGUUUUUGUUGUUGUUGAAUGUCGAUUUGUGUUCAUUUGGUGAUUUUUAUUUUUUGUUGUUGUGGAAUGGGUAUUAUCAUUUGUAUUGUUUGAUUUUUGUUGGAAAUAUGAUUGAAUCUAUUGUGAAUUUCAAUUGGCUUUUAAUGAGUCUUAUCAUCUUUAUUGUUUGUUUUUGUUGUUGUUGAAUGUCGAUUUGUGUUCAUUUGGUGAUUUUUAUUUUUUGUUGUUGUGG
rnacentral:misc_RNA from 1 species